CUACGGGUCGCUGCAGUGAGGAAUAUUGCGCAAUGGGGGGAACCCUGAUGCAGCAACGCCGCGUGGAGGAUGACGCAUUUCGGUGUGUAAACUCCUUUUAUAUGUCAAGAAAAUGACGGUAGCAUAUGAAUAAGCACCGGCUAACUCCGUGCCAGCAGCCGCGGUAAUACGGAGGGUGCAAGCGUUACUCGGAAUCACUGGGCGUAAAGGACGCGUAGGCGGGUUGGAAAGUCAGGUGUGAAAUCCUACAGCUUAACUGUAGAACUGCACUUGAAACUUCUAAUCUAGAGUAUGGGAGGGGGAGAUGGAAUUAGUGGUGUAGGGGUAAAAUCCGUAGAUAUCACUAGGAAUACCUAAAGCGAAGGCGAUCUCCUGGAACAUUACUGACGCUAAGGCGUGAAUGCGUGGGGAGCAAACAGGAUUAGAUACCCUCGUAGUC
rnacentral:rRNA from 1 species